UACGUAGGGUGCAAGCGUUGUCCGGAAUUAUUGGGCGUAAAGAGCUCGUAGGCGGUUCGUUAAGUCUGCUGUGAAAGCCCUGGGCUCAACCUGGGAACUGCAGUGGAUACUGGCGGACUAGAGUGUGAUAGAGGAUGGUGGAAUUCCCGGUGUAGCGGUGAAAUGCGUAGAGAUCGGGAGGAACACCAGUGGCGAAGGCGGCCAUCUGGAUCAACACUGACGCUGAGGCGCGAAAGCGUGGGGGAGCAAACAGG
rnacentral:rRNA from 1 species